CCCCAGAAACCUGUCUUGUCCAACACACAACCUUUAGAAAAGGAUUUCCCCCUCCUCGGGGUGUCGGAACCGGGGAGCCUCACGUGGCCCCGCCCCCCGCCUCCAUCAGUCCUUGCCCCGAGGCCGAGAACCGCAGGGGCUCGGGGGCGGGAAGCGGGGAGGCGAGCAGAGAAGCCCUGGUCCUCCUCCGUGCGGUCGACUUUCAGGGCUCAGGUUCCGCGCAGUGUUGGACGCGGCGGCCAAGCGGAGGGGCCGAGGUUGUGCCACAGGGACUCUCAGGACGGGAUAACGUGGGACUCGGGGAGACGAAGCGGCCCUAAGGAGGACGAGCACGCGGAGAAUUCCAGCGGCAGGUGCCUUCGGGUCAGACGGGAGACGUCAGGGGGCUGCCCCCCCGGAUCCCCCCCCACCCCCGCCCCGCCGUGUCCGGUGCGUCCGCAGGGGUCCUCUGCAGAGCACUUUUGAAAACCCCUGUUUGUACGAGUGCCCCUCGACGUGCAAAGAGAAGUGCAGGCUCCGACCUGCAGGAAAUUUUGCAUUUCAAGGCAAAACAGGGCAAAACAGCCCUCCAGAAAACUCGGCCGCUUGGGAACAACAGAAAACCCUGCACGGGGCUGGGAGACGGCCUGGCGUUCUCCUGUGGCCCUCUUGUGGUCCUCGACUACUCGAAUAUUACAUUAACCCAGGCGGUACCGUGCGGUGUGUUUCUGAGAACCGUCUAGGAUUUCAUUGCGCUCGGUCUUGAGCUCUUUCAGAGUCAACAGCCAGGUUAAUGUCAAGAGCCAGUCAUGUUAAAAAUUGCAUUUUACUGGUUUUUUACCUGAACCCUACUGUUUUGUUUUGUUUGUUUACUCAUGGGUUUGAUUCGGGUACUCUUUAUUGGAGGCCCAGAAUAAUGCAAGAUGCCCCCCACCCCCCUUUUUUUCUUUUUACUGAUUCAGGUUAGGCACUGAAUGUACCCAUGGAUUUUAUUCAGCCUGAGAAGUAACCUGCAGGCAGACAGAUAGGACACGUGGUUAGAACCUAGCAGUAAGAGAGGCGGAGACGCAGAAUACUUAAGACUACCUCGUCCAGGAACCCAGAGCAAGAAGAGAGGAAAGGGGGCUGGGGAGAAGACUUUGAAGAAAUCCCCGAAAGUGACAGUAGAAAUGUUUUCUUCUGGUAUCUGGCAAAAGCCUUCUCCACAUGGGGUCAGAGGAGGCUCUCUCACACUGGAUAAAACACGGAUCUCAGGCUCUACGUGACAUACAGAAAUCUCCAUCUUGCCACCUACAAACCUGAAACCUGAAGUGAUUAGACCUCCUUUUAAUCAAGAUCAAAGAAUGCCAUCCCUACAGAUUUCGAGAUGAAAGACAAGGACAGAAGGUGUACAUACUUCAUCCCAUAUUGGUUUCACAACUACAGGUUACUAUUUGGGAACUCCCUCGUUGAACGUGGCCCACUGUCAGUGCACACAGGUGGUCCCACAGUUUCGUGAUUAGACCUACAAAUUCAAUGUCAGCAAGCUGUCCAGAGGCACCUUCCCUGGAUCUUAAUGAAGAAUGACCUGCUUCUCUGAGAUUCCACUUCCUCUGAAGCUUAGAGAUGCUAAUAGCAAAAGAAACUGAGAAAGAGGGCAGAAGCAUAGAAAAAAAAAGCAGGGAAAUGUGGCAACCCAGGAAGGCAAGGGAAGAAUGCUUCUCAAGGAAGAGAGAUAAAGAACUGGAUCUAAUGCAGACGGUGGGCCAGGGACAGUGAGGUCCGAGAACUGGCCAUUGGGGUCAACCACAUGCAGGUCAUGAUGGACCACAAGUUGGGAUGAAGUUCCAAAGUAGCCAGAAAUCUUGGCAUGGAAAUAGAACACGCAGAGGGAAGAGUGGAGAGGCCUCCCAGAGCAAGAGAAUGAGAAGCCCCACAGAAGAAACCCAUCUAGAGAAAGUGGCUGAGUCACAGAGUGAUGGGGCACUGGACUUCCCUGGCCCAUCCACCUGUCACAGCCCCUCAUGAUGACCUAUGCCCCCUGAUGUUCUGGAGUCCCUGGUCCCUGUCCCUGUGAGUGUGUACACAUGGGAGCUGCUCUACUGAGGCUCCCCUGAGUGCACUGAGCAGACCCCAAAAUCACAACUGUCUCUAUUUUACUAAAUCAGAGUCGCAUGAAAGCAAGAUGUGGUCAGAGGGUCCUGAAUUAAGACAGAAGAACAGAAACAAAAUGGUGAAUGGGAUCAAUGCAGAAGGCAUCAGGAUUUAUUUGUGGUGUGGUAACAACAUAAAGAUCUCUCCAGCGGUCUCACAGGAAAGGGAUCAGUCUCUCCUGGACGUCUUCCUCAGCCUGAUUAUGGCAGGAAGUGAUGGAAACCUGAGGAAAGCCUGCUUUUUGUAGUGAUGAUGAUCAAGAGUGGUUGUCUGGGGGUGGCCAUGGUAGGCAUCACCCUAAACCGAGAGUCCAGAUGAGCUGGUACCUUGGAUUCCUGAAGUGUGGGUGCUGAGCAGUAUGCAUUUGUGAAAGAUAUCCCUAGAGAGACCUUUGACUGAGAUUCAAUGGGUGCACUGGUCCUCAUAGAGGAUUUUCUCCUGAAGAACGAGAAUGUACAAAAUCCUUUAAAAAAGCCACGAAGAAUCUUAGUGCCGUUUGCAUUUGAGAGAGAGAGAGAGAGAGAGAGCCAGAGAGCACAAGCCAGGGAAGCUGCAAAAGAAGC